rnacentral:lncRNA from 1 species
CUGGUUUUGAAACGCUUGCCAUUCUUAUAUUUUUCAUAGAUAAUAUCUUAACAAGCAAAGUUGUCAUUUGUUUCUGAAAAGCUUUCACCAAAUUGCCUAAAAUCUGAAAAGGAAUAUAUAUAUAUUUUUUCCAUUUUGUCUUUUAGGAAAAAUAGAUGGAACGUGACCAGAAAUGUUACAGCUCUUUGCCUCAGUGCUUCGUGAAACAUACUGUAAGAAGAAACGUCCCUCAGGCUGAGCUAAAAGAUUGGAUGUGUUCGGAAAGACGUUACAGCUUCUCAGUUGAACAGUGUCAAGUGGAGCAUGUGAGGAAACGCUGUAUCUAUUGUAUGCCAUGGUUUGACAAGUACUGUAUAUCAGGUGAGUGUUCCUGCUUUUGCUAAAAUUAAGGUGUAUCGGGGGAAAAAAUCAUCAUGCAGAGGGAAGGUUCUAAAAAGAAAAAAUGAAUAAUUUUUAAACUGAAGUGUCUUGUUAGAAGAAGACUGCUCCCUACUUCUAAAUGUAUUUCUUAUUAAUCCUGUUCUAUGAGGUUUGACAGUGUCGCUUGAAAAAAUUGGUAAGUAGCUAUUCAAGUUGAAGUAGCUGUUGUAAAGACGGAUUAAUAUGAAAUGACCAGGGGAAGAAAGUAAAUGUCGUACAGUGCCUUGAAGCAAUUUAUUCAUCAAGGGUCUGAUUUUCCCACUGGGUAAACUAUGGGCAAAUUGCCCAUCUAUAGGAGUGAAUUAGAAUGGGAAAUUUGCCCAGUUUUACCCCAGGAAAAAUAAAACCCUGAGUCUGUUCCAGCCUGUCAUACCUCCCAGUCUCAUACUGUCUAAUUCAGUUUUAAGAAAUAUGUAUGAUAUUACAUUUGUGCACAAAAGAAGUGGUUUCAGAAUUGAAAGUCAUAAGAUAAAUGUAAAUGUAAUUGCAUUUCAUGCUGAGUUGAUAUAAUAGUAUUUGUACAGCUUAAUGAUACACCUCCUAAAUAUAAAAUUUCAAAGUAAUUUCAAAAGCAAGGUCUUUAUAACUGGCCAAAAGUUAAAGAUAAUUUAGAUCUAAGCUGGGAAAUGCUAUGGAUGUACUGUAGAUGUUUCAAAUGACUGACAUGUAUUGGAAAUUCAAAUUAGAUUUCUUUACUGCCUUAAGAAACCAUUGUACUGUUA